rnacentral:rRNA from 1 species
UACGUAGGGCGCAAGCGUUGUCCGGAAUUAUUGGGCGUAAAGAGCUCGUAGGCGGUCUGUUACGUCUGCUGUGAAAACCCGGGGCUUAACCCUGGGCUUGCAGUGGAUACGGGCAGACUAGAGGCAGGUAGGGGAGAAUGGAAUUCCCGGUGUAGCGGUGAAAUGCGCAGAUAUCGGGAAGAACACCCGUGGCGAAGGCGGUUCUCUGGGACGGUACUGACGCUGAGACGCGAAAGCGUGGGGAGCGAACAGG